rnacentral:rRNA from 1 species
UACGAGGGGUGCAAGCGUUGCUCGGAAUUACUGGGCGUAAAGGGCGCGUAGGCGGCCACUGCAAGUCGGUUGUGAAAUCUCCGGGCUUAACCCGGAAAGGUCAAUCGAUACUGCAGGGCUAGAGUGCAGAAGGGGCAACUGGAAUUCUCGGUGUAGCGGUGAAAUGCGUAGAUAUCUGGAGGAAUACCGGUGGCGAAGGCGGCAUCCUGGACCGACAUUGACGCUGAGGAGCGAAAGCUAGGGGAGCAAACGGG